rnacentral:rRNA from 1 species
CCUACGGGUGGCAGCAGUGAGGAAUAUUGGUCAAUGGUCGGGAGACUGAACCAGCCAAGCCGCGUGAGGGAUGAAGGUACAGAGUAUCGUAAACCUCUUUUGUCAGGGAACAAAGGCGGGGACGUGUCCCCGGAUGAGUGUACCUGAAGAAAAAGCAUCGGCUAACUCCGUGCCAGCAGCCGCGGUAAUACGGAGGAUGCGAGCGUUAUCCGGAUUUAUUGGGGUUAAAGGGUGCGCAGUGGGUCUGUUAAGUCAGCGGUAAAAGCCCGGGGUGAAACCCCGGCCCGCCGUUGAAACUGGCAGUCUCGAGUUGGAGAGAAGUAUGCGGAAUGCGCGGUGUAGCGGUGAAAUGCAUAGAUAUCGCGCAGAACUCCGAUUGCGAAGGCAGCAUGCCGGCUCCACACUGACGCUGAGGCACGAAAGCGUGGGUAUCGAACAGGAUUAGAUACCCCUGUAGUC